CCUACGGGAGGCUGCAGUGAGGAAUAUUGGUCAAUGGACGAGAGUCUGAACCAGCCAAGUAGCGUGAAGGAUGACUGCCCUAUGGGUUGUAAACUUCUUUUAUAGGGGAAUAAAAUGUUCCACGUGUGGGAUUUUGUAUGUACCAUAUGAAUAAGGAUCGGCUAACUCCGUGCCAGCAGCCGCGGUAAUACGGAGGAUCCGAGCGUUAUCCGGAUUUAUUGGGUUUAAAGGGAGCGUAGGUGGAUUUUUAAGUCAGUUGUGAAAGUUUGCGGCUCAACCGUAAAAUUGCAGUUGAAACUGGCAGUCUUGAGUACAGUAGAGGUGGGCUGCAUUCGUGGUGUCGCGGUGAACUUCUUCGAUAUCAC
rnacentral:rRNA from 1 species